UUUGUUUUAAAAGAAGGAGAGACUGGGACAAUUCAAGAAUAUAUGUUCUCACAAUUUUGUCUGUUAACUCAGUUCUAGGCAAACCCUCCUUCCCA